AACGAACGCUGGCGGCGCGCUUAACACAUGCAAGUCGAACGAGAAGGCGUAGCAAUACGCUUGUAAAGUGGCGAACGGGUGAGGAAUACAUGGGUAACCUACCCUCGAGUGGGGGAUAACCCGCCGAAAGGCGGGCUAAUACCGCGUACGCUUCCGAUCUUGCGGGAUCGGAAGGAAAGCUGUCCCAAGGGGAUGGCGCUCAAGGAUGGGCUCAUGUCCUAUCAGCUUGUUGGUAGGGUAACGGCCACCAAGGCAUCGACGGGUAGCUGGUCUGAGAGGACGAUCAGCCACACUGGCACUGCGACACGGGCCAGACUCCUACGGGAGGCAGCAGUGAGGAAUAUUGGACAAUGGGCGCAAGCCUGAUCCAGCCAUGCCGCGUGAGUGAUGAAGGCCCUAGGGUUGUAAAGCUCUUUCGGCGGGGACGAUAAUGACGGUACCCGCAGAAGAAGCCCCGGCUAACUUCGUGCCAGCAGCCGCCGCGGUAAU
rnacentral:rRNA from 1 species